rnacentral:misc_RNA from 1 species
CACUAAAGAAGAGGCAAACAAUGUCUAUUUGAAGCUGCGUUCCUUAAAGAAGAUGUUCUUGCGGAGAUCGGAUCAGAGGGGUAAUGCUUCAAGCUCUUCAAGAUAUUCUAUAUCACCAGUGAAAUCUGUUGGAGAAGAACCAUAUAAGGAAAGCAUAUCACAAGCUGGAAUAUCUGCCCCACUGAAUGUGGAAACUGAUGUCAUUGACAGGCUACAAGAUAAUGAGUUGAGUGGAGAAGGCACUGUGGCACCUACAGAAGAACCAUAUAAGGAAAGCAUAUCACAAGCUGGAAUAUCUGCCCCACUGAAUGUGGAAACUGAUGUCAUUGACAGGCUACAAGAUAAUGAGUUGAGUGGAGAAGGCACUGUGGCACCUAC